GAUCCUGGCUUAGGAUGAACGCUAGCGGCAGGCUUAACACAUGCAAGUCGAGGGGCAGCGGGAUGUAGCAAUACAUUGCCGGCGACCGGCGGAUGGGUGCGUAACGCGUAUGCAACCUACCUUAUACAGGGGAAUAACCUUUCGAAAGGGAGACUAACACCCCAUGGUAUUGAUUUAAGGCAUCUUAGAUUAAUUAAAUAUUUAUAGGUAUAAGAUGGGCAUGCGUAUGAUUAGCUAGUUGGUAAGGUAACGGCUUACCAAGGCGACGAUCAUUAGGGGUUCUGAGAGGAAGGUCCCCCACACUGGUACUGAGACACGGACCAGACUCCUACGGGAGGCAGCAGUGAGGAAUAUUGGUCAAUGGGCGCAAGCCUGAACCAGCCAUGCCGCGUGCAGGAAGACGGCCUUAUGGGUUGUAAACUGCUUUUACAUAAGACUAACCGUAUAUUUACGAAUAUACCUGAAUGUAUUAUGAGAAUAAGGAUCGGCUAACUCCGUGCCAGCAGCCGC
rnacentral:rRNA from 1 species